UACGGGGGGGGGCAAGCGUUGUUCGGAAUUACUGGGCGUAAAGGGCUCGUAGGCGGCCAACUAAGUCGGAUGUGAAAUCCCCAGGCUUAACCUGGGAACUGCAUCCGAUACUGGCAGGCUUGAAUCCGGGAGAGGGAUGUGGAAUUCCAGGUGUAGCGGUGAAAUGCGUAGAUAUCUGGAGGAACACCGGUGGCGAAGGCGGCAUCCUGGACCGGUAUUGACGCUGAGGCGCGAAAGCUAGGGGAGCAAACGGG
rnacentral:rRNA from 1 species